GUUAGCGUGGCAAAGCAGGGUAAGUGCAA
rnacentral:tRNA from 1 species